rnacentral:rRNA from 1 species
UACGGAGGGUGCAAGCGUUGCUCGGAAUUAUUGGGCGUAAAGGGUAGGUAGGUGGUCUUAUUUGUCUGGGGUGAAAGCCUUGAGCUUAACUCAAGAAGUGCCCCAGAAACGGUAAGACUAGAGUCCUAGAGAGGGUCGUAGAAUUCCCGGUGUAGCGGUGAAAUGCGUAGAGAUCGGGAGGAACACCAGAGGCGAAGGCGGCGACCUGGAUAGGUACUGACACUCAACUACGAAAGCGUGGGGAGCAAACAGG